rnacentral:rRNA from 1 species
AUGGUGUACUUGACGAGUACCAUGGAGGCGGUUCGGUGCUGCCGGCAGCGGGAAGGUCCAGCGACGCAGCAAGAUGGAGGCGUGCAGGCGGGAGCAGAGGAGAGGCAGAGGCGCCUGGCUCCGGUGAGGCUAGAGCUCAUGGGGUGGCGGAGGCCAUGGACGAAGGAGGGGAGACGGUUCAGCGGCAAGGAUGAUGCAGGGAAGGCGCACGGGGGAACCACAGCGAGGAGGAGAAGGGAGCAGGGGCGCGCGACUGGGGAAGGCAAGUGGGAAGGUCAGCGGGUGCCAGCGGCAGCGGCGGCUCGCCGGCCAAUGGGGCGCCAUGGCCGCCUGAAGCGGGAAGAGCCGGGAGACGAGUUCGUGAAUGAGUAUCCUGUUGAGUAUGUUUACGAGGAGCAAGCUUUCGACAACCCUGAGAACUUUGCAGCCAAGAUGAUCAUUACCCCUGAUAUCACUUCUAUCUUUGCUUGCUAG